rnacentral:rRNA from 1 species
AACGAACGCUGGCGGCAGGCUUAACACAUGCAAGUCGAGCGCCCCGCAAGGGGAGCGGCAGACGGGUGAGUAACGCGUGGGAAUCUACCGUGCCCUACGGAAUAACGCAUGGAAACGUGUGCUAAUACCGUAUACGCCCUACGGGGGAAAGAUUUAUCGGGGUAUGAUGAGCCCGCGUUGGAUUAGCUAGUUGGUGGGGUAAAGGCCUGCCAAGGCGACGAUCCAUAGCUGGUCUGAGAGGAUGAUCAGCCACAUUGGGACCGAGACACGGCCCAAACUCCGACGGGAGGCAGCAGUGGGGAAUAUUGGACAAUGGGCGCAAGCCUGAUCCAGCCAUGCCGCGUGAGCGAUGAAGGUCUUAGGAUUGUAAAGCUCUUUCACCGGUGAAGAUAAUGACGGUAACCGGAGAAGAAGCCCCGGCUAACUUCGUGCCAGCAGCCGCGGUAACAC